rnacentral:misc_RNA from 1 species
AAUCAUCAAAAGCCGUUUUCUGUUUACUGAAAAGGGUUUUUGGACUUGGAGGUUUAAUGCUUGCCUUUCACAUUUGAAAGUGAGCUCCUCUCAAAUGAAUUAGUGGGGUCCGCUUUGUCGGUCCUUGACGUGAUAAGAUGUUUCUACGUUUUGGAUUUGGCACAGUCCCUUUGGAUUCCUGCUCCUAACUGUCCAACGGACAAGCGAUGGUGCUCCGGUCGCCGCCGUCUACAUUGGCGGGGGAGGGCUGGACCCACAAAAGAAAA